rnacentral:rRNA from 1 species
AUCUGGGCGGCGGAAUUCAAGACGGCUGGCGGGUCUCGCGCUCGUUCGGCCGUUUGAUAUUUCCGUCGCCGUGUCAGACGUCGCGACCUGUUUGUCGUCGGUCCUUGCUCGGAGGAAUUGCGAUCGAGUUCGUUGCGGGCGCGUUUCGGCGUGCUUCGCGGCGAAGACGCGACUCUCUGGCCGACGACGGACAGUAAGCAACGGUGUCUGGCGCCGUGUCUCGCACUCGGCGUCGGUGCCGGUCAGCGGCGAUUUCUUCGGGCCUCUUUCCGACCCGUCUUGAAACACGGACCAAGGAGUCUAACAUGCGCGCGAGUCGCGGGGUUUCGAGCGUACCACGGUGCGCUCGUUACUUCCGAAACCCGUACGUUGAAGGCGUAAUGAAAGUGAACAGGGAAGAUGGCGUUCCGAGACCACGUACCGUGAUCGAGUAUCGCGGCCGGACGUCCGCACUCCCGGGGCGUCUCAAUGGUUCGCCACGGAUGCGGACGAUCGUCUUUCGGGGCGGUGGUCGGUCUGUGGCGGUCCGA